rnacentral:tRNA from 1 species
GCUUAGUUGAUAAAGCACAAAGCUCUUAACCUUAUGGACGUGGGUUCAAACCCCAU